ACGAACGCUGGCGGCGUGCUUAACACCUGCAAGUCGAACGGAAAGGCCCUGCUUUUGUGGGGUGCUCGAGUGGCGAACGGGUGAGUAACACGUGAGUAACCUGCCCUUGACUUUGGGAUAACUUCAGGAAACUGGGGCUAAUACCGGAUAGGAGCUCCUGCUGCAUGGUGGGGGUUGGAAAGUUUCGGCGGUUGGGGAUGGACUCGCGGCUUAUCAGCUUGUUGGUGGGGUAGUGGCUUACCAAGGCUUUGACGGGUAGCCGGCCUGAGAGGGUGACCGGCCACAUUGGGACUGAGAUACGGCCCAGACUCCUACGGGAGGCAGCAGUGGGGAAUAUUGCACAAUGGGCGGAAGCCUGAUGCAGCAACGCCGCGUGCGGGAUGACGGCCUUCGGGUUGUAAACCGCUUUCACCUGUGACGAAGCGUGAGUGACGGUAAUGGGUAAAGAAGCACCGGCUAACUACGUG
rnacentral:rRNA from 1 species